rnacentral:rRNA from 1 species
GACGAACGCUGGCGGCGUGCUUAACACAUGCAAGUCGAACGGAAAGGUCCUGCCUUUGUGGGGUGCUCGAGUGGCGAACGGGUGAGUAACACGUGAGUAACCUGUCCUUGACUUUGGGAUAACUUCAGGCAACUGGGGCUAAUACCGGAUAGGAGCUCCUGCUGCAGGGUGGGGGUUGGAAAGUUUCGGCGGUUGGGGAUGGACUCGCGGCCUAUCAGCUUGUUGGUGGGGUAGUGGCUUACCAAGGCUUUGACGGAUAGCCGGCCUGAGAGGGUGACCGGCCACACUCAGACGGAGUGACGGCCCAGACAGAUACGGGCGGCAGGAGUGGGGAAGAAUGAACAAAGGGCGGAAGCAUGAUGGAGCAACGAAGGGUGCGGGAGGAAGGCAGUCGGGUGGUAAGCAGAGUUCGCUUGUGACGGAGCGUAAGGAAAGGUACUGGGGAAAGAGACACGGGUUACCUCGGU